GCGGCGGCUCACUCCUGGAAUCCCAGCACUUUGGGAGCCCGAGGUGGGCGGAUCACGAGGUCAGGAGAUCGAGACUGUUCUGGCUAAACCAGUGAAACCCCCUCUCUACUAAAAAAAUAACAAAAGCGAAGUGCAUCUCCCAUAAACGAGGUACUGCAGGAAGAAAGCAGAAAAUGAGACCCGAGUACACACAUGCACGCGGGCGUGCGCACACACACACCAGAAGAAAUGAACCAAGAGGAAAGGAAAUAUUUUCAAGUAAGCAUUUGGAGAUGGGAAAAACACCUUGAAACAGAAAUUCAUAAAGUACACACAUGUUUUUUUUUUUAAGUUAAAAGAGGAACAAUAAUAAACAGGCAGAAAAUGAAUAAAAAAUAAAAUGUCAUAUCAGAAGUGAAGAUAAAUUAAAA
rnacentral:lncRNA from 1 species